UCAUUAACGGAGCACAGCGAAGAUAAUGCUGAACGUGAUGACGAUGAGACCAUGGUGAUGACCUGUACCAGCAUUAGAUUGACAUGUGGUCAUUUGUAAUCGAUCAGAAUGACUUUAAUGCAAAAUCGUAUUCAGUAAAGUGCCUGUGUCCGCAGGUAUACUCAGUUUAUAACAUCAGGAAUUUUAAACUGGCAUUUGCUUUGUGGAUUCUGUCUUUCCUCCUUUCUAUCAGUUUCAGGAAAAGACUGGUGUUUGACCUGACUUGCACAGAAGGCUCUUAGACAUGGGUCUCUCAAUAACGGGCCUCGUGGUGUCCGACUACGGCUGGAUCCUUUAUCAGUGUCCGUGGGAUUAUUGCACAGCAAAAACGUUUUGUCAUUGGUGCUGUUGGAAUGUGAAUAAGAACAACAUCUUGGUUCACCGCCUCGCAAGUGAUCAGCACCAUUGUUGUCAGCAGCGGCAGCACCACAACCACCACCAGCACCACGCAAGACAUCCCUGAAAUUGGAAUGCCGACCCUUCAAGAACAUCGACUGCACAGCUUGGACUUCAUGCCACACCUCAGUUUGUGACAUCACUGGCUCCUUUAUCGGUGUCCACAGGAUUAUUGCAUGGCAAAAUUGUUUGUCAUUGGUGCUGUUGGAGUGUGACGUAGGAAUAAUAUCCAUGCCCACCGCCUCGCACCACCACCACACAACACGUCCAUGGAAUUGGAAUCUGCAUCAGCAGCACCACGCAACCUUCAAGAACAUCGACUGCCCAGCUUGGACUGAACGCCACACCUCAGUUUGUGACAUCACAGGCUCCUUUAUCGGCGUCCACAAGAUUAUUGCAUGGCAAAAUUGUUCACCAUUGGUGCUGUUGGAAUGUGACAGAAGAAGCCCACUGCCUUGCACCACCAACACCACAAGACAUCCCUGGAAUUGGAAUCAGCACCAUAGUUGUCAGCAGCAGCAGCAGCACCACCACCACGCAAGACAUCGCUGGAAUUGGAAUGCCGGCCCUUCAAGAACAUCGACUGCACAGCUUGGACUCAACGCCACACCUCAGUUUGGACAUCAAGAACCGCUCGGAGAAGCCAUAUAGGACCACAGACAUUGGGCUCUGCCGUAUUCAACUGGACUUCAAGGUUUUUGUUUGCACCGUUGGACAUUGUUAGAUUGUGCCUUUGUUAUGUACGUUGGAACACUGUUUUGUUAGAUUGUGCUUUCAUACUGAUGGCAUUGCGGGCAUGUACAGGUAUAGCUAUAGGCAUAGGCAUAGCACUGGUCCCAUGUCCCAAAAUUUUCUAUUUAUUAAAUUCCUAUUUUGAUUGCAAUUUCUGUAUACGUCCAUAUCCCUUUAAAUAGCCAGUUCCUCUACCGCCACUUGGCCCACGAACGCGCUGGUUGCACUCUGUCCUUGCACUCUGUGUCCUUGCAUGCUGUGUGAAUGUUUCUGUGUUAAUCAGAGUCGAACAAAAAUAGUUUAUCUGCGCAUUGCAGUAACCGCGUUGACCACAAAUUGGUAUCUUUUUCGGUCUCUCGAUGUGCACACUCUGAUGUGUGUGUGUGGCUCUGUGGUGCAAGUGUGGUAUGUGUGUGCGUACGUACGCAAAUGUGUGCAUGGUGUUCUGUCUCUCUACUAACACCUCCUGUCGAGUGCA